UGAUAUUCCUCGGCCGGCUUCAACAACGGUAGAUCUUGGUUUGCUUUUUCCAUCUUUAUGGCUGGUUGAGUUGUUGCAGAUCUGCCGAAGAGAAAAGAUAGCCUAAUACUUUUCAGGCAAGUCAAGGGGUUGACUUAGCUUCUUGUAACUCUGAUUUAAUUACUCCGAUCCGAUCCGGUGUGUAUUUUGUUUGUGGAUCUCAUACAUUUGAAUCUCCAAUCCAAUUGGUUUGCUGUAUGGUCGUCGACUUCUAAAAUAUGGCGGCUUCUGAUACUCCUUCACAAUCAAACCGGAAAUUGACUUAUGAUGUUUUCUUGAGCUUUCGAGGUGAAGAUACUCGCAAGAAUUUUGUUGAUCACCUUUACGAUCGCCUGAACUUGAAAGGACUCCACACCUUCAAAGAUGACGAGCGGCUGGAGAAAGGACAGCAGAUUGCUCCCGCUCUGCUGCAAUCUAUUCAAGAAUCCAGAUUUGCAGUUGUAGUCUUCUCCAAAAAUUAUGCAUCGUCAACCUGGUGUCUAGACGAACUUGCAAAAAUCAUGGAAUGCAAAGAAAAUCUCAACCAGGUUGUGGUGCCAAUUUUCUGCGACAUAGAGCCUUCACAUGUGCGCAAACAAACUGGAAGUUUUGAAGAAGCAUUUGCCAAACAUGAAGAGAAUGAGGGCAAGGGGAGGGUUGAAAGAUGGAGGAAAGCUUUGACAGAGGCAGGCAGUAUUGCAGGGCACGAUUUGCAGGGUGAUGAGUAUAACGGGUAUGAAUUAAAGUGUAUCAAAGCAGUCAGUGCUGACAUAUCAAAACUGCUUCCAUCUCCAAGUGUCGAAAAAGGUUUAGUGGGAUUAGAGUCACGUCUUAAAGAAAUAAGAAUGAAGUUGGAAGUGUGGGAUGAAGAUGUUAAGUUAGUAUUAGGCCUUUGGGGUAUGGGCGGUAUUGGGAAAACAACCAUUGCAAGAGUUGCCUUUGAUCAAUUUUCUAGUGAAUUUGAUGGCUCAUGUUUUCUUGCUGAUGUUAGAAAACACGGGCUGGAAGCCUUGCAAAAGAAACUCCUAUCAAAAGUUUUGAAGGAAAAUUCAAUUGAUAUAGAUGAUGUGAAUGAAGGAAUACGUAUGAUACAUAAAAGGCUCAAAUGGAAGAAAGUAUUGAUUGUUCUUGAUGAUGUAGAUAAUGAGGAUCAAUUAGAGAAAUUGGUUGGAGAUGGUAAAUGGCUUUGUAAUGGUAGUAGAGUCAUCAUAACUACCAGAGACAAGCAUUUAUUCACUCAGUUUACAAUUGUUGUUGAAACUUAUGAAGUUAAAAAAUUGGAGAAAGAAAAAGCACUAGAACUAUUUAGUUGGCAUGCUUUUAAAAAAGAAUCUCCGGAGAAUGGAUUUGAAAAUCUAUCUAAAUCUUUUGUAACUCAUGCUAGUGGUCUUCCAUUAGCCCUUAAGGUAUGGGGUUCUUCUCUACGUGGACAGACAAAUAAAAAAAUGUGGAAAAGCAAACUAGAGAUGAUUAAAGACAUCCCUGAUGAGAAUGUUAUUGAAAAGCUUAAGAUAAGUUAUGAAGGACUGUGUAAGGUGUGCAAAAAGGUAUUUUUGGAUAUAGUAUGCUUUUUUCGGGACGAGCGCCUGGAUAUUGUAAAAGAAGUACUUAAUGGUUGUAAAUUAUAUCCUGAUACAAAUAUAUCUCUGCUUAUUGAUAGAUGUCUACUAUUUGAAUCACAUGGAUUUAUUCAUAUGCAUGAUUUGAUACAUGAGAUGGGAUUGAGUAUUGAAAGUAAAGAAAGGAGCAGGAGGUGGCAGCUUGACGACCUUAAUGAUGAGCCUAUGGCGGUGGAAGGUCUUUUGCUUUCCUUCGACUGUGAUGAGAGUAUUAGCCCUUGUAUUGACUCUUUCAAACAGAUGACAAAAUUGCAGAUGCUCCUUGUUAAAUAUCAAGAAAAUUAUCAUUGUAGGUCAGAGUCUCAUCUGGAAAGUAUUGAAGCUUUUAAAGAGACAGGCAUUAUGAAUUAUCUCCCAAGGAAUUUGAUGGUGCUUAAAUUCCCACAUUAUCCAUGGUCAAACCCUUUUUGCCCAAUGGAAAUGAAGAAACUUACCUACUUGGAUCUGAGCUCAUCCAACUCUUUGUUAGAAACUCCAAAUUUUGCAAAAAUGCUGAAUUUGGUGAAUUUAAACCUUUCAGGCUGUGGGAAAUUAAAAACAAUACAUACUUCUAUUGGAAAUCUUAAGAAACUUGUUAAAUUGAAUUUAAGAAAAUGCAGCAACCUUGGAAAGUUUCCCAGCUUCAAUCAAGAAAUGAAGAGCAUUACCCAUUUGGAUCUUAGUCAUUGUAGAUCUUUGUCAGAAACACCAAAUUUUUUUAUGAUGCCAAAUUUGGAAUAUUUACUACUUUCAAAGUGUGAGAAAUUGAAAGAGAUCCACUCAUCUUUGGGAAAUCUUACGGAACUUGUGGAAUUGGAUUUUGAUGGAUGUAGUAACCUUGAAAAGCUUCCCAGCUUUAACCAGGAAAUAAAGAGCAUUAUCCGCUUGGAUAUUAAAAAUUGUAGCUCUUUGUUAGAAACGCCAAAUUUUGCUAUGAUGCCAAAUUUGAAAUAUUUCGGGCUUUCAAUGUGUGAGAAAUUGAAAGAGAUCCACCCAUCUUUGGGAAAUCUUACGGAACUUGUGAAAUUGGAUUUUGAUGGAUGUAGUAACAUUGAAAAGCUUCCCAGCUUUAACCAGGAAAUAAAGCGCAUUACCUGUUUGGAUAUUAGAAAUUGCAGCUCUUUGUUAGAAACACCAAAUUUUGCUAUGAUGCCAAAUUUGGAAUAUUUACAACUUUCAGAGUGUGAGAAAUUGAAAGAGAUCCACCCAUCUUUUGGAAAUCUUGCAAAACUUGUGGAAUUUGAUUUUGAUGGAUGUACUAACCUUGAAAAGUUUCCCAGCUUAAACCAGGAAAUAAAGAGCAUUACCCGUUUGGAUAUUAGAAAUUGUAGAUCUUUGUUAGAAACGCCAAAUUUUGCUAUGAUGCCAAAUUUGAAAUAUUUAUGGCUUUCAAAGUGUGAGAAAUUGAAAGAGAUCCACCCAUCUUUGGGAAAUCUUACGGAACUUGUGGAAUUGGAUUUUGAUGGAUGUAGUAACCUUGAAAAGCUUCCAAGAUUUAACCAGGAAAUAAAGAGCAUUACAGAUUUGGAUAUUAGAAAUUCUAGAUCUUUGUUAGAAACGCCAAAUUUUGCUAUGAUGCCAAAUUUGGAAUAUAUAGGGCUUUCAAACUGUGAGAAAUUGAAAGGGAUCCAUCCAUCUUUGGGAAAUUUAACGAAACUUGUGAAAUUUGAUUUUGAUGGAUGUUGUAACCUAGAAAAGUUUCCCAUCUUUAACCAGGAAAUAAAGAGCAUUACCCGUUUGGAUAUUAGAAAUUGUAGCUCUUUGUUAGAAACACCAAAUUUUGCUAUGAUGCCAAAUUUGGAAUAUUUACUACUUUCAAAGUGUGAGAAAUUGAAAGGCAUCCACCCAUCUUUGAGAAAUCUUACGGAACUUGUGGAAUUGGAUUUUUUUGGAUGUAGUAACCUUCAAAAGUUUCCCAACUUUAACCAGGAAAUAAAAAGCAUUACCCGUUUGGAUAUUAGAAAUUGUAGCUCUUUGUUAGAAACACCAAAUUUUGCUAUGAUGCCAAAUUUGGAAUAUUUACUACUUUCGGGGUGUGAGAAAUUGAAAGAGAUCCACCCAUCUUUGGGAAAUCUUAAAGAACUUGUGGAAUUUGAUUUUGAUGGAUGUAGUAACCUUGAAAAGCUUCCCAGCUUUAACCAGGAAAUAAAGAGCAUUACCCGUAUGGAUAUUAGAAAUUGUAGCUCUUUGUUAGAAACACCAAAUUUUGCUAUGAUGCCAAAUUUGGAAUAUUUACUACUUUCAAAGUGUGAGAAAUUGAAAGACAUCCACCCAUCUUUGGGAAAUCUUACAGAACUUGUGAAAUUGGUUUUUGAUGGAUGUAGUAACCAUGAAAAGCUUCCCAGCUUUAACCAGGAAAUAAAGAGCAUUACCCGUUUGGAUAUUAAAAAUUGUAGCUCUUUGUUAGAAACACAAAAUUUUGCUAUGAUGCCAAAUUUGAAAUAUUUAGAGCUUUCAAACUGUGAGAAAUUGAAAGAGAUCCACCCAUCUUUGGGAAAUUUAACGGAAUUUGUGAAAUUGGUUUUUGAUGGAUGUAGUAACCAUGAAAGGCUUCCCAGCUUUAACCAGGAAAUAAAGAGCAUUACCCGUUUGGAUAUUAGAAAUUGUAGCUCUUUGUUUGAAACACCAAAUUUUGCUAUGAUGCCAAAUUUGAAAUAUUUAGUGCUUUCAAAGUGUGAGAAAUUGAAAGAGAUCCACCCAUCUUUGGGAAAUCUAACGGAACUUGUGAAAUUGGUUUUUGAUGGAUGUAGUAACCUUAAAAAGCUUCCUAGCUUUAACCAGGAAACAAAGAGCAUUUCCUGUUUAAAUAUUAGAAAUUGCAGCUCUUUGUUAGAAACACCAAAUUUUGCUAUGAUGCCAAAUUUGAAAUAUUUAGACCUUUCAAAGUGUGAGGAAUUGAAAGAGAUCCACCCAUCUUUGGGAAAUCUAACGGAACUUGUGGAAUUGGUUUUUGAUGGAUGUAGUAACCUUGAAAUGCUUCCCAUUUUUAACCAGGAAAUAAAGAGCGUUUCCCGUUUGGAUAUUAGAAAUUGUUGCUCAUUGUUAGAAACACCAAAUUUUGCUAUGAUGCCAAAUUUGGAAUACUUGCAACUUUCAAAUUGUGAGAAAUUGAAAGAGAUCAACCCAUCUAUGGCAAAUCUAACGAAACUUGUGGAAUUGGUUUUUGAUGGAUGUAGUAACCUUGAAAAGCUUCCCAGCUUUGAUCAGGAAAUAAAAAACAUUUCCAGUUUGGAUCUUUGAAAUUGUAGCUCGUUGUUAGAAACACCAAAUUUUGCUAUGAUGACAAAUUUGGAAUACUUACAACUUCCAAAGUGUGAGAAAAUUGAAAGAGUUCCACCCAUUUUUGUAAAAUCUCUCGGAACUUAUGGAAUUGGUUUCUGAUGGAUGUAGUAACCUUGAAAAGCUUUUCAGCUUUAACCAGGAAAUGAAGAACAUUACCAGAUUGGAUCUUUGAAAUUGUAGCUCUUUGUUAGAAACUCCAAAUUUUGCUAUGAUGCCAAAUUUGGAAUACUUACAACUUCCAAAGUGUGAGAAAAUUGAAAGAGUUCCACCCAUUUUUGCAAAAUCUUUCGGAACUUAUGGAAUUGGUUUCUGAUGGAUGUUGUAACCUUGAAAAGCUUUUCAACUUUAACCAGGAAAUGAAGAGCGUUACCGAUUUGGAUCUUUGAAAUUGUAGCUCUUUGUUAGAAACACCAAAUUUUGUUAUGAUGCCAAAUUUG